rnacentral:rRNA from 1 species
ACCUGCGGAGGGAUCAUUACACAAUACAAUAUGAAGGCUGUCCGCAGCUGGAGUAUUUUAUUACCCUUGUCUUUUGCGCACUUGUUGUUUCCUGGGCGGGUUCGCUCGCCACCAGGACCACCAAAUAAACCUUUUUUAUGCAGUUGCAAUCAGCGUCAGUACAAACAAUGUAAAUCAUUUACAACUUUCAACAACGGAUCUCUUGGUUCUGGCAUCGAUGAAGAACGCAGCGAAAUGCGAUACGUAGUGUGAAUUGCAGAAUUCAGUGAAUCAUCGAAUCUUUGAACGCACAUUGCGCCCUUUGGUAUUCCAAAGGGCAUGCCUGUUCGAGCGUCAUUUGUACCCUCAAGCUUUGCUUGGUGUUGGGCGUUUUUGUCUUUGGUCGCCCAAAGACUCGCCUUAAAGUGAUUGGCAGCCGGCCUUUCUGGUUUCGCAGCGCAGCACAUUUUUGCGCUUGCCAUCAGCAAGACGGCAAUCCAUCAAGCCUCCUUCUCACGUUUGACCUCGGAUCAGGUAGGGAUACCCGCUGAACUUAAGCAUAUCAAUA